rnacentral:rRNA from 1 species
GACGAACGCUGGCGGCGUGCUUAACACAUGCCAGUCGAGCGGAAAGGCCCUUCGGGGUCCUCGAGCGGCGAACGGGUGAGUAACACGUGAGUAAUCUGCCCUUGGCUUUGGGAUAACUACCGGAAACGGUGGCUAAUACCGGAUACGACAACCGUCUGCAUGGGCUGGUUGUGGAAAGUUUUUUCGGCCAGGGAUGUGCUCGCGGCCUAUCAGCUUGUUGGUGGGGUAAUGGCCUACCAAGGCUUCGACGGGUAGCCGGCCUGAGAGGGUGACCGGCCACACUGGGACUGAGACACGGCCCAGACUCCUACGGGAGGCAGCAGUGGGGAAUAUUGGACAAUGGGCGGAAGCCUGAUCCAGCAACGCCGCGUGAGGGAUGACGGCCUUCGGGUUGUAAACCUCUUGCAGUACCGACGAAGCGCCGAUGAUGGUGGUGACGGUAGGUACAGAAGAAGCACCGGCCAACUACGUG